rnacentral:lncRNA from 1 species
UUUGCAUGAUUUCUAUGAUUGUUUUAAGGUGUUUUAGGGAGUUUUUGGGGAGUAUUUUAGAGUCAUGUUUAUAGAUGUUUGGCCCCUCAUUUGAGUCCACCUGUGUAGGUUUGGACCCGAGGAACCGAGACCCUCAGCAGUGAAAUAGCUGCUUCAGAGUCAUUAGAGCUUCAGCCAAAGGUGAGUGGAAUAACUCUUUAUGUUUAAAGUAAAUAAAUCAAUUCUUAGCAUGAUUCACGCAUCAUGAAUGCCAUGAGAUAUAUUAGGUUGUUUGCAUUAGAAUUCACGAAUAUGUUGCAUUGCAUAAUAUGUUGUUGAUGUGGAUGGAUAUUGGAUGAUCCAUAGCCCUCAAUCUAUGAUGUGAUGAUAUGAUAUGUACGGUACGGAAUGAAAGACCAGUGGGACCCAUUCUCCGUUCGCUGGCACCAUGUAAGAGAAAGACUAGGACCCAUUCUACGUUCUGGCACUUUGGAAUGUUAUGUUUAAGUGAAAGACCAGGACCCAUUCUACGUUCUGGCACUAUGGAGUUAUGUAGAGGGCUAAUGGUGACAAGUUCAUCCUUUAUGUGAUAUGUUUGUGACGUGAUGCAUUUCAUGGAAGCAUGGACUUUAAAUUUAAUGUUUUACUAUUCUGCUCACUGGGCUUUAUAGCUCACCCCUUUCCCUUAACCCCCAGGUUUGCAGAUACAGGGUAGACCAGGAGGUCAGCAGGAGUAGAGUCAUGUGUUAUGUAAUAGCUAGCUGUGGACAUGAAUAUGUUGUAAUGUAAAAGUAAAGUAUUGAGAUGUUAUGUAAUGAUGCUUAUGGAAGCUUAGAGUUGUGCUUGACCAUAGUAUUAUGUUAAUCCCUUUCUAGUACAUGAUCUUAAUGUUUAAUGAUGAUUAUUGAAAACCAAACUUAAUGUAUGUAUGUUACCCCAUUGGAGCAUUGUUGAGGACUCCAGUGUGGGUUGAUGAUUAUGAUUAUGUAUAGUGCAUGCACAGGUUGAGCUUGGUGAAUGAAUGGAAAGAAAAGUUCAAAAUUUUUUUGUAUGUUGUUGAUCAUGUAUGGGAUUAAACAGGUUCACAGGUAGAAUGUUUGGCUUGCUACGGGUCCCGACGGCCUUAAGCCGAUCUGGAUCCUAGCGCCGGUAGCAGUCCGAUUUUCGGGUCGUUACAGAUUGGUAUCAGAGCCCUAGGUUCAUAUGGUCGGACCUAGAGUGUCGGGCUCAUAGAUGUUCUAGAAGGUCAAGCACAAUAGGAAAAUCAUGUCCACUAGGAUAGGAUGAAGAGUCCUGUCUUGAAUGAUGAUGUGAAAUGCCAUGAUUUUAUGCAUGUGCAUUAAUGUUAUGCUUUGAUAUGUGAUGUAUGUGAUGCGGGUUCAUGUGUUUGCACAUGAACCAUUUGAUGCUAAUGUUAUAUGUGUUGUAUGCUAUUUUUCAGAAAACAGGAUGAGAGGAACUCGUCGAUCUACACGAUUGACUGAAGUACCACCCCAGGAUGAGGGCACUGAUGCCCGUCCUCCUGCAUUGCCUAGGGCAAUGUCAAGUAGGUCCAGCAGAGAAAGAGCAGUAAGAGACCCUAGAAGGUCUUUGGAUCUGGGUAGAAGCAGAUCAGUGAGGGGAACAGUGCAAGGGGAUAUGUCAGAGGAUGUGGGGGAUCAGAUGGAUGUGGAUCAGAGGAGGGAUGGCAGUCUCGGAGUAAGUAUGUCAGAAGAGGGAAUGGGAGAGUCCAAAGGAGGCACUCAGGCCUCGGGAUUUGUUCAGCCACCUUACUACCCACCCUUUUCACAUAAUUCCAGGUAUUCGAUGGGAGGUACAUCGGAUUACCCUAGUUUUAACCCUUAUCACUCUCAGAUGCCAUACCCACCUUUCUACCCAUCGUACCCACAGUACCCUAUGUAUCCACCCCCACCCUACCAUCCAGGUACAGCAAACCCUACCCCAGGGGAUGCUGCACCUCCUCCACCACCAGCAGCACCUACUGUCCCAGAAACCCAAAUGCCUAAACCUAGCUCAUCUGGGGGGAGCAAGGUCAAGAUGAUCGAUUACAUGAAGCUGGGUGCUCCCUAGUUUGAAACCGGUGAUGACCCGUUUGUGUACCUCGAAAGGGUUAAGACAAUUACAGAUGAGAUAGGAGCUGAUGACAAUAGAGCCAUUCAGAUGGCUGGAUUCACACUAAAAUGCAAGAAGGCCCGAGAGUGGUUUAAGAACUAUGUGAACCCGAGGUUGGACAGCCUAUCAUGGGAGGAGUUUGCAAAUGAGUUUGCAGGAUGGGCUUUCCCUGAUAGUUCAAGAGAAUUGAAGAUGAUUGAGUUCGAGCAGCUGAGGCAGACGGAUGAGAUGAGUGUGGAUGAGUUCACAGACAGGUUCUUGGAGCUGUUGCCAUUUGCUGGGCAAAAUCUGGAUACAGAUCAGAAAAAGUCAAGUAGGUAUAUCAUGAAGCUCCAUUCCAGGUAUUCCUCCUUGAUUCAGUCAGCAGAGAGGGAGAGUUUCCAUGCCAUAGUGGAUAUGGCUCGGAGGAUGGAGGCUAGUGCUAUAAUCGAGGGGAAAGUCAAACAGUCAGUGGCACAGCCUUCUGGUUGCAAGACCCCAGGUGGGGGAAGAAUAGACUCUUCUUCUCUGAGUUCAACUAGUAAGAGGUGGAGCAAUACCACCAAGAAGCCAAAGAAGAACAAGUUCUGGAAUAAGAUCAAGUCUGGUAUGGGAUUAGGAAGUGGUUCGAGCUCAGGUGCAGAUAAUGCAGUAUGCAAGAAGUGUGGGAAGCCGCACAAAGGAGUAUGUCUAGUUGGGACGAUAGCCUGCUUUAGAUGUGGGCAGGAGGGACACAUGGCACUGGAGUGUCCUAGGGCAGCUUUUGUGGCACAGUCUCAGCAGACAGCUUCUGGUAGUGUGGCUCAGCCAGUAGCUCCAGCCGCGACUCAGGCUAGUGGCAGAGGCAGAGGAAGAGGGGCAGCCUCUUCUUCAGCGGGUUUCAGGGGUGAGGGCCCAUCAGCUCCAGCACGGAUCUUCACCAUGACUCAGCAGGAGGCAAACACAUCCAACACCGUGGUGUCAGGUAAUCUCAUCAUUGGUUGUUCUGAUGUGUAUGCAUUAAUGGACCCUGGUGCAUCUCAUUCUUUUAUUGCUCCGAAGGCCAUCGAGAGGUUGGGAUUGAUGGUCUCUGGGUUAUAGUUUCCCCUAUGGGUCAGUGGACCCAAGUGUGACCCGUCAGUGGCAGAGUCAGUCUGCCAGUGUAGUCCAGUCUUUGUGGAGGGAAGAUGCCUUUCUGCCGACCUUGUGGUUCUAGAUUUGACAGAUUUUGAAGUCAUUCUAGGGAUGGAUUGGCUAUCUACCCAUGGUGCUACCUUGGACUGCAGAGACAAGGUAGUCAAGUUCAGAUGUCAGGAUGGGUCAGAGGUUGUCUUCAAAGGAGAUAGGGGGAGUACACCUAGAGGUUUGAUAUCAGCCCUACAGGCUCGUAGGCUGCUCAGGAGAGGUUGUCAAGGUUUUCUAGCUUAUGUGAGAGAGCUGGAUAGUCAUGUCAGAGAGCCCGCCUCAGUGCUAGUGGUCAGAAAAUUCUUAGAUGUUUUCCCAGACGAGCUACCAAGUUUACCACUUGCUAGGGAGAUAGAGUUUGAAAUUGAAUUGAUGCCUGGAACUAGACCGAUCUCUAUCCCUCCCUACAGGAUGGCACCAGUAGAAUUGAAGGAGUUGAAAGAGCAGUUGCAAGAGCUGGUAGAUAGGGGUUUCAUCCGUCCGAGUACCUCACCUUGGGGUGCUCCAGUGCUAUUUGUGAAAAAGAAGGAUGGAUCCCUUAGACUUUGUAUCGACUACAGGCAGUUGAACAAGGUCACUACCAAGAAUAAGUACCCGUUGCCAAGGAUUGACGAUCUAUUCGACCAGCUAGCAGGAGCAGGUUGUUUCUCCAAGAUAGAUCUGAGAUCAGGGUACCAUCAGCUGAGGAUAAGGGAAGAGGAUGUACCGAAGACAGUAUUCAGGACCAGAUAUGGGCAUUAUGAGUUCCUUGUGAUGUCGUUCGGGUUAACCAAUGCCCCUGCAGCAUUCAUGGAUCUCAUGAACAGAGUGUUUAGCUAGUACCUGGAUCACUUUGUUAUUGUCUUCAUAGAUGAUAUCUUAGUGUAUUCCAGGAAUGCAGAGGAGCAUGCCCAUCAUCUGAGGUUAGUUCUGCAGACCUUGAGGGAACAUGGCUUGUAUGCCAAGUUCUCCAAGUGUGAGUUCUAGCUGAGGAGCAUCUCCUUCUUGGGGUAUGUGGUGUCAGAAAAUGGAAUCGAGGUAGACCCCAAGAAAGUGGAAGCUGUAGCUAACUGGCCUAGACCCACUACGGUGAUAGAGAUCAAGAGUUUCUUGGGUUUGGCAGGUUACUACAGGAGGUUCGUUCAGGACUUCUCUAAGAUUGCAGCUCCCAUGACCAAAUUGACUAAGAAGAACCAAAGGUUCGUGUGGACCGACCAGUGUGAAGAGAGCUUUGAGGAGCUAAAGAAGAGGUUGACUUCAGCACCGGUGUUAGCUCUGUCGACUAGUAAUGAGGACUUCACAGUCUUUUGUGAUGCGUCCCGUGUGGGACUGGGUUGUGUGCUAAUGCAGAAUGAAAGGGUGAUUGCUUAUGCUUCUAGACAGCUAAAGAAGCACGAGUUGAAUUACCCUACACAUGACCUAGAGAUGGUAGCGGUGAUCUUUGCACUCAAGAUGUGGAGGCACUACCUUUAUGGGGUUAAAUGUGAGAUCUUCACAGAUCAUAAAAGCCUGCAGUACAUCCUGAGUCAGAGGGAGCUGAAUAUGAGGCAGAGAAGAUGGAUAGAACUGCUUAGUGACUACGAUUGCAAGAUUCAGUACCAUCCGGGUAAGGCGAAUGUGGUAGUAGACGCCUUAAGCCGGAAAUCACUUGGCAGUUUGUCCCAUAUUUCAGCAGAGAGGAGGCCAGUGGUGAGGCAGUUCUUCGAGCUCAUGAAUGAAGGUCUACGAUUGGAGUUGUCUGGUACAGGUGCUUUGAUUGCCCAGAUGAGAGUAGCACCCGUGUUUCUAGAGCAGGUGGCUCAGAAACAGCACGAGGACCCAGAGUUAGUAAAGAUUGCCAGGACUGUUCAGUCAAGCAAGGAUAGUGAAUUCAGAUUCGAGAAUAAGGGGAUCCUCCACUAUGGGAGCAAAUUAUGUGUACCAGAUGACGUAGGGCUAAAGGGAGACAUUAUGAGAGAGACUCAUAAUGCCAGAUACAGUGUUCACCCGGGGGCCACCAAGAUGUAUCAAGAUCUCAAGAGAGUGUAUUGGUGGCCAGCUAUGAAAAGAGAAGUGGCACAGUUUGUGUCAGCCUGCGAAGUGUGUCAGAGGGUGAAACUGGAACAUCAGAAGCCGGCUGGAAUGCUUAACCCACUACCUAUUCCAAAGUGGAAAUGGGAGAAUAUAGCUAUGGACUUCGUGGUGGGGUUACCGGCAUCGUCCAACAGGUUAGACUCCAUAUGGGUGAUUGUGGACAGACUGACCAAAUCUGCUCACUUCAUCCCUGUCAGGAGUGGCUAUUCUGUGGACAAGUUGGCGCAGGUGUAUGUUGAUGAGGUUGUCAGGCUGCAUGGGGUUCCUGUUUCAAUAGUGUCUGAUCGAGGGCCCCAGUUCACCUCCAGGUUUUGGCGAAGUCUGCAGAACGCUAUGGGUACCAGGUUGGAUUUUCGCACUGCUUUCCAUCCACAGACGGACAGACAAUCAGAGAGGACCAUCCAAACAAUAGAGGAUAUGCUCCGAAUGUGUGUGCUAGAUUUUGGCGGUUCUUGGAGGUAGCAUCUACCUUUAGUGGAGUUUGCCUACAAUAACAGCCAUCAUGCCAGCAUAGGGAUGGCCCCAUAUGAAGCUUUGUAUGGAAGGAAGUGCAUGUUGCCUGUCUGUUGGGAAGAAGUUGGAGAAAAGGCCUUGGCAGGGCCUGAGCUAGUAGAGAUCACCAGCAGAGUGGUACCCAUUAUCAGAGAAAGGAUUAAGACUGCUGCAAGCAGGCAAAAGAGUUAUACAGAUAUCCGCAGAAGGCAAGUAGAGUUUCAGGAGGGGGAUUUGGUAUUGCUAAAGGUGUCUCCAAUAAAAGGGGUGAUUCGGUUUGGAAAGAAAGGUAAGCUAGCACCACGGUACAUCGGACCCUUUGAAGUCUUGCAAAAGAUUGGGAAUGUAUCGUACAAGCUGGACUUGCCUGCUUCAAUGGAGAGAAUCCAUCCGAUUUUCCAUGUUUCCAUGUUAAGGAAGUUCGUGUCAGAUCCGGGCAAGGUUCUUAGUGAGCCUGAUGUGGAGAUCCAAGAGGAUCUCACCUAUGUUGAACAGCCAGUACGGAUCCUAGACACCCAGAUCAGAAAGCUAAGGAACAAGGAAAUCCCGAUGGUGAAAGUCCUUUGGAAUCACCACAACAUCGAAGAGUGUACCUGGGAGACACGGGAGUCUAUGCUCCGGCAAUAUCCUCAUCUCUUCUAAGGUGAGUUUUUAUGUGCUUUGUAUGAAUGUUUAUGUUUUAUCCUAUGUCCUGUGUUUGUUUGGUGAACAUUCGGGGACGAAUGUUCUUAGGGGGGGAAGAAUGUAAUACCCGGCUAGACUCCGGUAUCGGAAUUCCUACCGUCUGGUGGAAUCUCGGAUGUCGGAAACCUCUAGAAGGGUAAAAAUCAUGUUUUUAUAAAAUGUUUUAAUGUAUCUUAUGGUUUUAAGCAAAAAGGAAAUUGAGUUUUAAAAGAAAAAGACCAAGGAGACAUUUCCAGGUUCGGCCAUUGAACCUCAAGUUCGGCCGCCGAACGUGGGAUGGUUUAGGGGGGCAAGUUAGGCUUCCGAAAGUUUCAAAGGUUCGGCCGCCGAACUUGCAUGAGUUUUGGAGGCACUUUAGGCUGCCGAAAGGUAGUGUGCCAGCCCUUAUAUAAGAGCUCCAUGGCCGAAACGGGCGAGUUUUCUCCCCAUUUUCGGCCACGGUGAGUUCUUGCUCUCCCAUGGUUCAUUUUAGAUGUUUUUCCUUUGAUCUUUCAUGUUUUAACAAGCUUUAUGUUGAUUUGAAGAUAUUUGAACAAAAGAGCGAGUUUUGGAAGCUUGGAGACCAAAGAGUUGAGAUCUCUCCCAUCUCCAAGUUGGAUCGUCUCUCCUCUCGUUCUUCAAGAGGUAAGAGUAGAUCCAUAGUUCCUUUAAUGUUUUAAGUAAGUUUUAUGAAGUUUCUUGGGGUAGAAAUGCAUGUGUAGGUUUAUGUGGAGUUUAUGGGUUUACUGUGCGUUUAUGAGCAAUGUAUGUUGGAUAUGCAUGUUUGAUGUGUUGUAGAUGGGGUUUAGGAUAGUUUGAAGCCCCUAGGAGCUUGUAUGCUUGAGUAUACAUGUUGUAGAAUAGGAAAAUACAUGAUUUAAUGAGUUGGGAGGCGUUUAUGCAUGUUGAGCUGAGUUUCUGCCCUUUGGGAAGAACUCAGGUUCGGCAGCCGAAGGCUCUUUCGGCCACCGAACCUGCCUUUGGUAGCAUGUAUCGGCUGCUGAACUCUGCCCCCGAAAGUGGACUUUCGGCUCUGGAAGAAAGUUUCGGCCGCCGAAGGUGCCGCCGAACAUGCAUGAGUUUCGUCUCUGGAGGGAACCUUCGGCUGCCGAAAGUGCCGCCGAAGGUGCAUGACUUUCAGCUCUGGAGGGCCUUUCGGCCGCCGAACCUGCCGCCGAAAGUGCCCUGUUCAGCCCUCCUUUGCAUGAUUUCUAUGAUUGUUUUAAGGUGUUUUAGGGGAUUUUUGGGGAGUAUUUUAGAGUCAUGUUUAUAGAUGUUUGGCCCCUCAUUUGAGUCCACCUGUGUAGGUUUGGACCCGAGGAACCGAGGCCCUCAGCAGUGAGAUAGCUGCUUCAGAGUCAUUAGAGCUUCAGCCAGAGGUGAGUGGAAUAACUCUUUAUGUUUAAAGUAAAUAAAUCAAUUCUUAGCAUGAUUCACGCAUCAUGAAUGCCAUGAGAUAUAUUAGGUUGUUUGCAUUAGAAUUCACGAAUAUGUUGCAUUGCAU